rnacentral:rRNA from 1 species
UAACACAUGCAAGUCGAACGAGAACGGAUUAUAGCUUGCUAUAAUUGUCAGCUAAGUGGCGCACGGGUGAGUAAUAUAUAGUUACCUGCCCUCAAGAAAGGAAUAACAGUUGGAAACGACUGCUAAUGCCCUAUAUGCCUUUAAUACAUAAGUAUGCAAGGGAAACGCUUUAGUGCUUGAGGAUGGGACUGUAUGGUAUCAGCUUGUUGGUGAGGUAAUGGCUCACCAAGGCUAUGACGCCUAACUGGUUUGAGAGGAUGAUCAGUCACACUGGAACUGAGACACGGUCCAGACUCCUACGGGAGGCAGCAGUGGGGAAUAUUGCACAAUGGACGAAAGUCUGAUGCAGCAACGCCGCGUGGAGGAUGACACAUUUCGGUGCGUAAACUCCUUUUAUAUGGGAAGUAAUGACGGUACCAUAUGAAUAAGCACCGGCUAACUCCGUGCCAGCAGCCGCGGUAAUACGGAGGGUGCAAGCGUUACUCGGAAUCACUGGGCGUAAAGAGCGUGUAGGCGGGUAUAUAAGUCAGAAGUGAAAUCCAAUAGCUUAACUAUUGAACUGCUUUUGAAACUGUGUACCUAGAAUGUGGGAGAGGUAGAUGGAAUUUCUGGUGUAGGGGUAAAAUCCGUAGAGAUCAGAAGGAAUACCGAUUGCGAAGGCGAUCUACUGGAACAUUAUUGACGCUGAGACGCGAAAGCGUGGGGAGCAAACAGGAUUAGAUACCCUGGUAGUCCACGCCCUAAACGAUGCACACUAGUUGUUGUGAGGCUAGACCUUGCAGUAAUGCAGUUAACACAUUAAGUGUGCCGCCUGGGGAGUACGGUCGCAAGAUUAAAACUCAAAGGAAUUGACGG